rnacentral:rRNA from 1 species
CAGCCGCCGCGGUAAUACAGAGGGUGCGAGCGUUAAUCGGAUUUACUGGGCGUAAAGCGUGCGUAGGCGGCUUCUUAAGUCGAAUGUGAAAUCCCUGAGCUUAACUUAGGAAUUGCAUUCGAUACUGGGAAGCUAGAGUAUGGGAGAGGAUGGUAGAAUUCCAGGUGUAGCGGUGAAAUGCGUAGAGAUCUGGAGGAAUACCGAUGGCGAAGGCAGCCAUCUGGCCUAAUACUGACGCUGAGGUACGAAAGCAUGGGGAGCAAACAGGAUUAGAUACCCCCGUAGUCCCUGUCUCUUAUAC